GCUUAGCCCUAAACUAAAAUAGCUCACCACAACAAAGCUAUUCGCCAGAGUACUACUAGCAACAGCCUAAAACUCAAAGGACUU
rnacentral:rRNA from 1 species